CAUCCCGCGUGUGCGAUGAAGGCCUUCGGGUUGUAAAGCACUUUUGUCAGGGAAGAAAAGGUUUCGGAUAAUACCUGAAACUGAUGACGGUACCUGAACAAUAACCACCGGCUAACUACGGGCCAUCAGCCGCGGUAAUACUUAGGGUGCAAGCGUUAAUCGGAAUUACUGGUCGUAAAGCGUGCGCAGGCGGUUCGGAAAGAAAGAUGUGAAAUCCCAGGGCUCAACCUUGGAACUGCAUUUUUAACUCCCGAACUAGAGUAUGUCAGAGGGGGGUGGAAUUCCACGUGUAGCAAUGAAAUGCGUAGAUAUGUGGAGGAACACCGAUGGCGAAGGCAGCCCCCUGGGAUAAUACUGACGCUCAUGCACGAAAGCGUGGGGAGCAAACAGGAUUAGAUACCCUGGUAGUCCACGCCCUAAACGAUGUCAACUAGCUGUUGGGCCCUUCGGGGCUUAAUACCGCAGCUAACGCGUGAAGUUGACCGCCUGGGGAGUACGGUCGCAAGAUUAAAACUCAAAGGAAUUGACGGGGACCCGCACAAGCGGUGGAUGAUGUGGAUUAAUUCGAUGCAACGCGAAAAACCUUACCUACCCUUGACAUGUCUGGAAUCCUGAAGAGAUUUAGGAGUGCUCGCAAGAGAACCGGAACACAGGUGCUGCAUGGCUGUCGUCAGCUCGUGUCGUGAGAUGUUGGGUUAAG
rnacentral:rRNA from 2 species